rnacentral:rRNA from 1 species
UACGGAGGGUGCAAGCGUUAUCCGGAUUCACUGGGUUUAAAGGGUGCGUAGGUGGAUCUAUAAGUCAGUGGUGAAAGCCCCGAGCUCAACUUGGGAAUUGCCAUUGAUACUGUAGAUCUUGAGUGCGGUUGAGGUAGGCGGAAUGUUGCAUGUAGCGGUGAAAUGCGUAGAUAUCUGGAGGAACACCGGUGGCGAAGGCGGCAUCCUGGACCGGUAUUGACGCUGAGGAGCGAAAGCCAGGGGAGCAAACGGG